UGUGGGCUCUGCCGACAGCGCGCCGUGAACCCGCCAGGACCGGAAGGUAGCAACGGUGGCGGAAAGCGAGUGUGGCAGGCCCUUUUCC
rnacentral:SRP_RNA from 1 species